CGGACACACUCUGGAGAGUCCCAUGACGGGCGCCGAAGGUGUAAGGAAAUAUUUUCCCAAUCUCUCAGGCAAAAGGACAGAGCAAAAAUA
rnacentral:ncRNA from 2 species